GAUGAACGCUGGCGGCGUGCCUAAUACAUGCAAGUCGAACGAAUCUUCUUCGGAAGAUGAGUGGCGAACGGGUGAGUAAUACAUAGGUAACCUGCCCCUGUGCGGGGGAUAACAGGAGGAAACUCCUGCUAAUACCGCAUAGCCAUGAGCACCGCAUGGAGCUCAUGCCAAAUAUCCUUUCGGGGAUAGCGCAGGGAUGGACCUAUGGCGCAUUAGCUGGUUGGCGGGGCAAUGGCCCACCAAGGCAACGAUGCGUAGCCGGCCUGAGAGGGCGGACGGCCACAUUGGGACUGAGACACGGCCCAGACUCCUACGGGAGGAAGCAGUAGGGAACUUUCGGCAAUGGGGGAAACCCUGACCGAGCAACGCCGCGUGAGCGAAGAAGGCCUUCGGGUCGUAAAGCUCUGUUGUAAAGGAAGAACGGCGCAUACAGGAAAUGGUAUGCGAGUGACGGUACUUUACCAGAAGGCCACGGCUAACUACGUGCCAGCCGCCGCGGUAAGAC
rnacentral:rRNA from 1 species